GACGAACGCUGGCGGCGUGCUUAACACAUGCAAGUCGAACGGAAAGGCCCUGAUUUUGUGGGGUGCUCGUGUGGCGAACGGGUGAGUAUCACGUGAGUAAAAUGUCCUUGACUUUGGGAUAACUUCACGAAACUGGGGCUAUUACCCGAUAGGAGCUCUUGCUGCAUGGGGGGGGUAGGAAAGUUGCGGCGGUUGGGGAUUGUCGGGCGGCUUCCCCGCUUGUUGGUAGGGUAGUGACUUACCAAGGCUAUGACGGGUAGCCGGCCUGAGAGGGUAACCGGCCACAAGGGGACUGAGAUACGGCCCAGACUCAGACGGGAGGCAGUAGUGGGAAAUAUUGCACAAUGAGCGGAAGCCUGAUGCAGCAACGCCGGGGGCGGAAUAACGUCUUACGGGUUGUAAACCGCUGUCGCCUGUGACGAAGCGUGAGUGACGGUAAUGGGUAAAGAAGCACCGGCUAACUACGUG
rnacentral:rRNA from 1 species